rfam:Capsicum annuum cultivar Zunla-1 chromosome 6, whole genome shotgun sequence
ACCUCAUGGUUAGGACAUUGGAUGAGCUUACUAUUAAACCUGUCCCAUACCUUGUAUAUAGGCUCUCCAUUCAAUUGAUGAAAGUUUGUGAUUUCAUCAUGCAAUU